CAAAGAAUGAGGCAAUGUAGGAGACUUCCAAGUGGAAUGUGGUGUUAUCCUCCUUGAUUUAUUCCAGGAACACAUUGGAAAGGCCCUAUGGUCCCCACCUUUAGGCACGCUUAGCUGCUCAAGUUAUCAAAAACAGAUGCCAGCUGGAAAACAGGGAAGCCCAUAGACUCGGCGGUAAAGGUUUUGCAUUUGGGAAAAAAACAAAAACAGCAGACAGAACAUACUUCACACAAACCAGAGACAAUGGCAGGCGACUGUCCUGUACAGAAAGAUGUGGCUGUCCGUAAAUACUUAGAACUGAAAAUGGCCACAGCAUUUACUUUGUGCUUCUCUGCAGUUUUGGCAGAGCCAGUGUCGAUGUCACUCUUGGUUGUGACACCUACUUCUGGACCUGCAAAAAGCCUGAAGUGAAUGGAGUGUAUUAUUCUAGAUUUGAGUAGACUGUUUGAAGAUCAAAAACAAAAGACCCUCCCCUGAUACUUCCAACAACUUAAACUCUUUGCCCCAGUGAGAUCCCAAAUUACAUGCACAGGGUGUCCCACAUGCCUCCAGUGAUCCCCAAGAAGCACUUGAAGAACCAUCCCUUAUAACGUGAUGAAGACUCAUAAAAGCCCUGAUUCAGAUGUAUUCAUCACUCAUCGAACAACUAUGGAUGGCUCGGGGCACAACUAGAUGGACAUACGUUAUAUUGUGCCUCAUGCCUCACAGAUACCAGCACGUGGACUGUGUACAGGGCAUUUCUGCUGAAACGCUAUGUCUGAUUUUCUGCAUAUAGCCCCAUUCCUUCUCUCCAAGAGACGCCUGUACCAACCCAUGGUGGGGGAAAGGACAAAGAUGAGAUCCUGAGAAACUUGAGGAAUGUGGUAAUGGCAGCAGACACAUUCCCCUUGCAUCACAAUGGUCUGUGGUACCACCUCUGCACCUUGGCCCAAGACCUAACAGCAACAAAAAUAAGGUUCAUCUCCUAGCCAGAAUCAAGAAAGAAAGACACAGCAACCACACUCUUCCCACAGAGGUGAGGUCUGGAAGGGGUCACCCAGGCCAGGAGACUUCUGUUUGGAGUGUGCAGUCAUCCUCCUCUCGUUAUUUCUUGAAACUCACGGAAAAACCUUAAGGUACUCAGUCUCUAAGCGCUUUUGGCUUCUAAACUUACCAUGGAAAGCUGACAGAAUAAAAAUUGAGAAGCCUGUUGGCUCCUGGGUCAUGAGUAUGCAUUUCAAAAACAAAGAAGAAACAGACAUUUCACACAACACGCAAAACAAGACAAGGCCGGGAGAGCGUGCUGUACAUAAAGAUGAGGGUUUGCCAAAAGAGUUACAACUGAGAAUGGCCCCGGCAUUUACCUUGUCCUUGUCUGCAUUCUUGGUACAGCCAGAGCCGCUGUAACUCACAGAGGUUUCAGCAGUUUCUCGAUCUACUAACGACCAUAGAAGGGACAGAGGUUUAUUCUGCUUUCAGAGGACUGGGCAUAAUGAAAACAAUCCCUCAACUCAUUCCUCAAAUAUCUUAAACUUUUCCCUACAGUCAGGUCCCUGACCAGAGGCAGAGGGUAUCCCACAUGCCUCAGGUGACCCCCAAGGAUAAGGGAGAGAAUCAUCCCCUCACCUUGAUAAAGACCUCACAGUGCUCUAGUUCAUGUUGUUUCAUAAUUAAUCACAUAACUGUGGACAGGUCAGGCACAACUAACAAUUUAGAAUUCAUCAGUAAAACAGUUUUCUCAGUAUACAUC
ensembl:lncRNA